rnacentral:lncRNA from 1 species
GAGUAAGUAGCCUGUGAGCACUUACUUCCUGGAUCAUUUCCUGAUCCCCCACACCUCUGUCCCCCUCCCUCUUUGGUGGCAUUUCGUUCAGACUGCUCAUCCAUAUUCCCCUCAUCUCCUGGCUCAGUUCCACCCCGGCUUAAGUCUAAGGGUUGCCUUCCUAGGGGACGGCCUGGCCUGCAGGAACGGAACGCCUGGACUUACACUGCGUUCGUGGCAAAGUAUCCGCGUGAGUUCCCUAAGACUGGCUGGACUGACAUCGAGACGGGCUAGAAGUAUAUAAGCUCUCGUUUGGGGCGCGGGUGGUGGAGUGCGAUAGCUUGUCACGAACCAGGUAUUUUUCCAGGGGCUUCUCCAGGCCUAGAUCGGGUAAAGGCUCUGGAGCGGGCCACCUGCCGCGACCGGAGAGGUAGGAGGGGCGCGGCUCCGGAAGGCUGGGGCACACUCCCGGCGGGCGUCCUGGAGGGCCACCCGCAGGUGGCGGCGCUGGCCUGCGGGCGGGGCCGGGAGGGGAGGGCUAGACGCGCGUCGGUUGGUGACGGCAGCGCGGAGGGGAGGUGCGAAGCGCCCGCCCGCUGAGAGCCAUGGCGAGAGGCCGCGCAGCGGCGCCCGCUUCAGUACCCCGGUCCGCAGCAGCGCCCCCGCCCGCCGCCCCCGGGCCCACCCGGCCGCCGCCCCCGUGCACCCCAAGCCCCUGAUCGCUGCGCGCUGUGAGCCAGGCGCCCCGGGAGAGGGGCCGCGCGCGGGAGGGCGGCACGGGAGGGAGCGCGCGGGAGCCCGAGCGCCCCGACGACCCCCGCGUCCCGGAACCCCGGAUCUCUAGCUGGGAGCGCGAAGUCGGCGGCCGGGCAGCAUCAGGAGGAGGAGACGCCAAAGCCCAGCCCGCCGUGUGCGCCCUGGUGCCGCCCGGCCGCCUGCUGUGGAGGGAACCAGAGCCGCCGGGCGGCCCGGGCCGGGCCGAGGACACCGAGGAGGAGGCAGCCAGGAGUGUCGAUCGCCCGGGCAGCCCUGCGCCGGAGGCUCCCGGGGCCGCGCCUGCUACGGGGCUGCACUCCGCGCGCCUCUAGAGGAGUCCCAGUGAGGAGCCCCUGCUGGUGUGCCAGACCUCUGGGGGGCUGUCCGCCCGACUGCUCCAGACUCCGGCAGCGGGGCCUCCGAUGGCAGUGGGCACCUCCCCGUGAAACCUGCCAAGCUGGACGCCACAGCUCUGCACGACGACGCUUUGGCCAACUCUGUGCCCCCUUCGGAGGCGUGCAACCAUGCAGUCCUAGCCUGCAGCCCGGGCAUCCCUGAGGAGCACUAUGUAAGCGAGGCUGUGGAAGAUGCUCCCAGCUCCAGAGGGUACCGGGAUGCCUGCACCAUCACCGGUAAGGGCACCUCUCCCUGUCACGGAUGGAGACAGUCAGUGAGGACCAGGGAAGACUGGGGCCACAGGACUGGGUCUGGGGGAGGGAUGUGGAGAGUUGGUGAGCUGGGGGAGACCACCAAACGGCAAAGAGUCAGAGCUUUUGUGUGUGUGUGUUUUAGGGCUGCACCAGUGGCAUAUGGGGGUUCCCAGGCUAGGGGUCGAAUGAGAGCUGCAGCUGCUGGCCUAUACCACAGCCAGAGCAACUCGGGAUCUGAGUUGAAUCUGCAACUUACACCAUAGCUCCUGGCAACACUGGGUCCUUAACCCACUGAAUGAGGCCAGGGAUCAAACCCCCAGCCUCAUGGAUACUAAUCGGGUUUGUUACCACUGAUCACCAACAGGAACUCCCUCAAGGAAUUAUUGAGACAGGUACUUGGAGCCAGCAAAAGAGCGGGCUCUGAGUGGGAAUGGUGUGGGUUGGUGUGUGGAACAGCAGUGAGGAGCAUAAUGAUAACUAAAUCCAACUGCAUUCAUAUCAGAAUUUGUCCAUUCUCAUUUUGUCUGCAUCACUGCACAGUGACAGUUUAAAAUGUGCAGAUUUGCUUGCAGUAGGUUUUUUUGUUUUGGUUUUUGGCCACUCCUGUGGCUUGGAAUCAACUCUAUGCCACAGCAGUGACCAGAGCCACUACAGUGACAAUGGCUGGAUCCUUAAUCUGCUGUGCCACAGGGGAACUCCAUCCAGUAGCUUUUUACUGUUUUCUCUUACCAGUUAAGCAUUGAGAAUACCCCUUGUGUCAAGAGCGUCCUGGGUAUGAGGGGCACUGAGGUGCCUGGGAUCCCAGCCUGGCAGUGCUGCUUUGCCUAACCCAGGAAGGACAUGGUUUCAGCACCUGCCCUUUCCCUACUAUGACAUGUUUCCCCUUGCUUCCUAUUAGCACAAAAAAU